rfam:Canis lupus familiaris chromosome X, whole genome shotgun sequence.
AGGAGCAACAGCCCUAGUGGCGGGGCCAGCCCCGGAAACCUGGAUUCAGCCCCCGCAGGAACUCUGGAGCUCUCGGUCUGCAGGGCCUGGAGGCUCCGGGGAGGG